rnacentral:rRNA from 1 species
UACGGGGGGGGCAAGCGUUGUUCGGAAUUACUGGGCGUAAAGGGCUCGUAGGCGGCCAACUAAGUCGGAUGUGAAAUCCCCAGGCUCAACUUGGGAACUGCAUCCGAUACUGGAUGGCUUGAAUCCGGGAGAGGGAUGCGGAAUUCCAGGUGUAGCGGUGAAAUGCGUAGAUAUCAGGAGGAACACCGGUGGUGUAAACGGCUUUCUGGACCAUAACUGACACUGAGGCACGAAAGCGUGGGUAGCAAACGGG